rnacentral:rRNA from 1 species
UACGUAGGGUGCAAGCGUUAAUCGGAAUUACUGGGCGUAAAGCGUGCGCAGGCGGUUUUGUAAGACUGUCGUGAAAGCCCCGGGCUCAACCUGGGAAUUGCGAUGGAGACUGCAAGGCUUGAAUCUGGCAGAGGGGGGUAGAAUUCCACGUGUAGCAGUGAAAUGCGUAGAGAUGUGGAGGAACACCGAUGGCGAAGGCAGCCCCCUGGGUCAAGACUGACGCUCAUGCACGAAAGCGUGGGGAGCAAACAGG